rnacentral:lncRNA from 1 species
CGGAGACAUGGAAGUCUCGCGCGCUUCCGCGACAAGAACUACGCGAACGCGAAUGCGAAAGAACAACGGGAGCCGAGCUGGAUCAACGUGGGUCUCGCGAAAACGGUACCGCCUUCAGAGCCUGAAGGUAGCGCGUCCUUGGGCGCAGGAGGAGGGUGGUGUUUCCCCACGGCACUCAGAGUCAGUUCGCAUCCCGCCGGUUCCCUCUGUGCACACUGUGCACCCGGCGCCUCCUGACCUCCCCGGCGGGGUGGUUUCACCCCCUCGUCGCGCAGGGCACGAGCUUGGGGAGCCUAAGCGUUUAGGGACUAGAGGAUAGAAGCAACCAUUUUAAAGCAUCUCUUCCCACCAUUUUCUGCACCCACCAGAGAACCAGCCUUUAUUGGUGCUGCAGAAAGCGCCACCUGCAAAACCCCGUUGUUCCUCCUCUCCUUGUACAAAGACGCCCGCAAAAUGGACAAAUCUAAAUAUACUUUGACUACAUAAGCUGGAGGUCACACCCCUGAGCAACAGGCAGGAUCUGGCCUGUCCGGAAAUAAAAUGCACCAGCACCCCCAGGGAAAAACCCAAGUCCCCUCACAAAGAACGGACCGUGAGGCUCAAGUGUGGCAAAUGCUGCCUCCCUGAAGCAGCCUCUCUCCCGUACUGAGAAGAGGUGUCUUCACAACAAAACACAGAAUUUUUAAAAUACAAAUUUUAAAAAUGUAGUACGGGACUGGAGGUGCAGCCUAGCAUGCUUGAGGCUCUGGGUUCCAUCCCUAGCACCACCACCCCCCCAAAAAAAUUACAGUAGAAUUGCAACUGGUGAAGCCAGAUUUAAAAUUAGGCAGUCAGUGUAGUUAAGUAAAUCGGGUCUAAUAUAUCGAGUGAAAUCUAAAAUGGAGGCCAUGCCGAUAAUGAUUCUAAUGAUUCUGGAAAACGCAAGACAACUCAUGGAAAGGCCCUAGGCCAAAGUCCACCCCAAAGAAAUGUUAAUGGGAACAGCCCCAGCAGAUUUGGAGAUAGCCCAUCCCAAAGAAGUGUUAAUGAAGUCCUUCCUGCCCAGAUUACCUGUGUCCCACCCCUCAGGCCUUCCAGCCUACAUUCCAUCACCAAAACUAUAAAAAGGGGAGACAACCCGCACUUCCAUGGAUUCCACUUCUUGGGUCCCCUUCUUCCUCUGGGAGAAGUCUUUU